CCGUGAGACAGGUGCUGCAUGGCUGUCGUCAGCUCGUGUUGUGAAAUGUUGGGUUAAGUCCCGCAACGAGCGCAACCCUUAUCCUUUGUUGCCAGCGGUCCGGCCGGGAACUCAAAGGAGACUGCCAGUGAUAAACUGGAGGAAGGUGGGGAUGACGUCAAGUCAUCAUGGCCCUUACGACCAGGGCUACACACGUGCUACAAUGGCGCAUACAAAGAGAAGCGACCUCGCGAGAGCAAGCGGACCUCAUAAAGUGCGUCGUAGUCCGGAUUGGAGUCUGCAACUCGACUCCAUGAAGUCGGAAUCGCUAGUAAUCGUGGAUCAGAAUGCCACGGUGAAUACGUUCCCGGGCCUUGUACACACCGCCCGUCACACCAUGGGAGUGGGUUGCAAAAGAAGUAGGUAGCUUAACCUUCGGGAGGGCGCUUACCACUUUGUGAUUCAUGACUGGGGUGAAGUCGUAACAAGGUAACCGUAGGGGAACCUGCGGUUGGAUCACCUCCUU
rnacentral:rRNA from 1 species